rnacentral:misc_RNA from 1 species
AAAAAAAGGAUAAAUUCUCUAAUAUCAUCCAAAAUACAAUGCCAAGGUGCUUACAGGUGAAAUUGUGACUCAACAAAGAUUUACAAUAUCCUAUCAAUAAAUCACACUGAUCAAAUUUAACUAAUAAUUCCCAGCCUAGUCUUCUAGUUCCCAUCUCUUACAUUUCCUCCAAAUUAGCCUGUUCUAUGUCAAUUUCAUCAUGAACUAAAAAAACUUAUGGUUUUU